AAGCCUGAUGCAGCAACGCCGCGUGAACGAUGAAGGUCUUCGGAUCGUAAAGUUCUGUUGCAGGGGAAGAUAAUGACGGUACCCUGUGAGGAAGCCCCGGCUAACUACGUGCCAGCAGCCGCGGUAAUACGUAGGGGGCUAGCGUUAUCCGGAUCUACUGGGCGUAAAGGGUGCGUAGGUGGUCCUUCAAGUCGGUGGUUAAAGGCUACGGCUCAACCGUAGUAAGCCGCCGAAACUGGAGGACUUGAGUGCAGGAGAGGAAAGUGGAAUUCCCAGUGUAGCGGUGAAAUGCGUAGAUAUUGGGAGGAACACCAGUAGCGAAGGCGGCUUUCUGGACUGCAACUGACACUGAGGCACGAAAGCGUGGGUAGCAAACAGGAUUAGAUACCCUGGUAGUCCACGCUGUAAACGAUGAGUACUAGGUGUCGGGGGUUACCCCCCUCGGUGCCGCAGCUAACGCAUUAAGUACUCCGCCUGGGGAGUACGCACGCAAGUGUGAAACUCAAAGGAAUUGACGGGGACCCGCACAAGUAGCGGAGCAUGUGGUUUAAUUCGAAGCACGCGAAGAACCUUACCUA
rnacentral:rRNA from 1 species